rnacentral:rRNA from 1 species
AGAGUUUGAUCCUGGCUCAGGACGAACGCUGGCGGCGUGCCUAAUACAUGCAAGUAGAACGCUGAAGAGAGGAGCUUGCUCUUCUUGGAUGAGUUGCGAACGGGUGAGUAACGCGUAGGUAACCUGCCUUGUAGCGGGGGAUAACUAUUGGAAACGAUAGCUAAUACCGCAUAACAAUGGAUGACACAUGUCAUUUAUUUGAAAGGGGCAAUUGCUCCACUACAAGAUGGACCUGCGUUGUAUUAGCUAGUAGGUGAGGUAACGGCUCACCUAGGCGACGAUACAUAGCCGACCUGAGAGGGUGAUCGGCCACACUGGGACUGAGACACGGCCCAGACUCCUACGGGAGGCAGCAGUAGGGAAUCUUCGGCAAUGGGGGCAACCCUGACCGAGCAACGCCGCGUGAGUGAAGAAGGUUUUCGGAUCGUAAAGCUCUGUUGUAAGUCAAGAACGAGUGUGAGAGUGGAAAGUUCACACUGUGACGGUAGCUUACCAGAAAGGGACGGCUAACUACGUGCCAGCAGCCGCGGUAAUACGUAGGUCCCGAGCGUUGUCCGGAUUUAUUGGGCGUAAAGCGAGCGCAGGCGGUUUGAUAAGUCUGAAGUUAAAGGCUGUGGCUCAACCAUAGUUCGCUUUGGAAACUGUCAAACUUGAGUGCAGAAGGGGAGAGUGGAAUUCCAUGUGUAGCGGUGAAAUGCGUAGAUAUAUGGAGGAACACCGGUGGCGAAAGCGGCUCUCUGGUCUGUAACUGACGCUGAGGCUCGAAAGCGUGGGGAGCGAACAGGAUUAGAUACCCUGGUAGUCCACGCCGUAAACGAUGAGUGCUAGGUGUUGGAUCCUUUCCGGGAUUCAGUGCCGCAGCUAACGCAUUAAGCACUCCGCCUGGGGAGUACGACCGCAAGGUUGAAACUCAAAGGAAUUGACGGGGGCCC